CUUCGGCUACUGCUGAGAUCAUCAUCAUGGCAUCCUCCUCCUCAUCACGCGGACCCAAUCGGCAGUCUCCCCUUUUGACCUUAGCAUAUAGGAGUAUACUACAUGCAUGUAGUAUGUACUCCCCUUCGUGAUACUGUUGACUUUUUCCAUUCACUGUUCGUCUUACAAAUAUUUUUCAAAUAGAUAGACCUACGGGUUCAAUCUAUC
rnacentral:lncRNA from 1 species